AUGGCCACCGUGAGCAGCUAUCUACACUCUCUCACCAUUGUGCCCGUCAGAACCGCUGCCACGGCUGGCUCGGCACCACAAAAGAGCACGCGCUUCUUCCCCGCCCAAAUCGAAACAAGGAGCCGGCACACAACCGCCCCGGCUCGCCUCGGAGGGCUCACCGAAUCCCGAACCCCACGGCGCGAGUUCGCCGGAAGACGAGGCAUCAUCGCUUAUAGCUCUUUCAGCAUGGAGCUCUGCACAGCUUCUGUAUCUAUUUCACCGCAUCGCCCCAGUAUAUCAACGUCUAGCCGUCCAGUGCCAUAUACUCGAUAUGCCGGUUCAAGAUCCUGUAUUUCCAAAAGGACAAAGCGAUCUUCACUCUAUGUCAUCAAUGCUGCAUCAACUAAUGCCCUGCUCUCUUCUCGGACCCUACCCACGCAAACUAAUGGUGCAGCUGCGAAAGGCAUGCCCAGCAAAAAGCCCAACAGUGCACUGGAGCAACUUGAUAUCGAGCGUGGUGUCUGCAUGCCUUUCCGAAAGUACUCCCCGGAAAUGGUCAGGAGUAAAGUCUUGGGAUCAAGUGGCUCUGUACUAUCCCUCGCUAGUCGGGGGGUGGAGAUCAUUUGGAAACUAGGCUUUUAUUGGUCAUCUCUGGUGUAUGACUACUUGGUUGGACGGGAUGAAGAAAUCGUUCCGUUCCGUGCCCGCCAGCUCCGCAAUCUUUUAUGUGAUCUCGGGCCAUCAUUCAUAAAAGCAGGACAGGUUCUAGCUAACAGGCCUGAUAUUAUUCGUGAGGAUUAUAUGAGCGAACUGUGUAUCCUACAAGAUGACGUUCCUCCAUUUGCUAACCAGGUGGCCUUUUCCAUAAUUGAGGAGGAACUUGGCCAGCCUCUAGAACAACUAUUCAGCAAAAUUUCAUCAGAGACAAUAGCAGCUGCAAGUCUGGGCCAAGUCUACCGUGCCACACUAAGAGAAACCGGCGAGGAUGUUGCUAUCAAGGUUCAGAGGCCAGGGAUUGAGCCAAUAAUAUUCCGAGAUCUGUUCCUUUUCCGCACGCUGGCUUCCUUUUUGAAUGGGAUUAGCCUUCAAAAACUAGGCUGCAAUGCAGAGCUUAUUGUUGAUGAAUUCGGUGAAAAACUUUUGGAAGAACUUGAUUACACUCUUGAAGCUAGAAACAUCGAGGACUUCAUAGUAAAUUUUAAGAAUGAUCCAACUGUGAAGAUCCCUCUAGUAUAUAAUAAGUUUUCAGGUUCUCGUGUUUUGGUGAUGGAAUGGAUAGAUGGAAUCAGAUGCACUGAUCCGCAGGCUAUAAAAGAAGCUGGGAUUGAUGUAGAAGGCUUUCUCACAGUUGGAGUGAGUGCAGCACUGCGCCAGUUGCUUGAAUUUGGCCUUUUCCAUGGAGAUCCACAUCCUGGAAAUGUUUUUGCGAUGCGAGAUGGCCGUAUUGCUUACGUCGACUUUGGCAAUGUUGCCGUCCUUAGCCAGCAAAACAAAGAAAUCCUGAUUGAUGCUGUAGUUCAUGCUGUAAAUGAAGACUAUGCAGAAAUGGCAAAUGACUUCACAAGGCUUGGUUUUCUUGCUAGUGGAACAGAUGUUUCCCCAAUUAUCCCAGCUCUGGAAGCUAUUUGGCAAAACUCAGCUGGAAAAGGCUUGGCAGACUUCAAUUUCAGGAGUGUGACUGGGAAGUUUAAUCAGCUCGUGUACAAUUACCCUAUCCGCAUCCCAGAAAGAUUUUCUUUGGUCAUUCGCUCUUUGUUGACGCAAGAAGGAAUUUGCUUUACUCUCAAGCCUGAAUUUAAGUUCCUUGAGGUUGCAUAUCCGUAUAUAGCAAACCGUCUUUUGACAGAUCCAAAUCCUGCUCUCCGUGAACGGCUGAUACAGGUGUUAUUCAAAGAUGGAUUGUUCCAGUGGAAACGACUAGAAAACCUUAUAGUUCUUGCCAAGGAAAAUGUGUCAAAGAUGAGUACCAAUCCUGCACUGAAGAGCAAUAGCCUGCAAACUGUGUCGAGUCAAAAACUGGAGAAGAAACUGGAUCUCACUGACACAAUAAAAGAUGGAGCACGGCUGUUCCUUAUCGAUUCUGGGAUCAGGAGACAACUUGUAAUGGCUUUCACUGAGGACUCCAGGUUGCACGUAGACGAGCUUGUUGAUGUAUACAAACUGGUGGAAGAUCAGAUAGAUAUACCUUCAGUUGCUCUUGAGGUUCUCCAAGAUUUGCCAUCGGUCGCACGCGAUUUCAUGCUUUCGUGGAGUGAUUCUGUUCUGUCAGAUCGCCAAAACUAA
rnacentral:rRNA from 1 species